rnacentral:lncRNA from 1 species
GAAUGCAAGGUCCCUAGAGACUUCAUGCCAGGAUGGCUUCUUGCUGCUGAUGUGCCUUUCCUGUCACUAUUACAUAGCCUAGUGAUUCCUGGAUGUCAGCCCACCCUAUUUAUUGGGCAAAUUUCACGCAGAUCAACAUGCAUAUGAACUUUCAUGAAUUAAUGCUAUUUAGAUGAAUUAAUGACUUUAUGGAAUUCCUGAUUUGAUUCAAAUAAUUUUAGGAAAAAAAUUUAAGGAGAUAGUUUUAGUUGUUUUGCCAGAAAGAUGUAAUAAAGUUAGAAUCCAGAAGAGAAUAUGUGCCCUCCUUAGAAUAGUAAGCAAAGGUUGCAUACUUUUGGGAUACGAUGACCCUUCAUAAUUACACAAAGAAGAGAAAUUGUCUUGGGAUAAAUUUGUAAUCAAGAAAAAACAGUCAUUCUAGGUCAGGUCCAAGGAUGAGGCUGUACAGGUGUGCACUAUGAUAAAGCCAGGCCAUGGGAAACUGAUUCUUUGGACUUAAAAUGAGCUUACAGAAUGAACCACUGCUUUGAACUUACUAUCAAUGUCCUUCCAUAACUCCUCCUUUGUGUGACAUUUUAUCUAUGAGAUAAUUGUCUAAAGAGCUUUUGUCUAAGAAGGUAUAAAAAGGCCAGAACAAAUAAGGUGGCAGCUUGGGGGGCUCUGCCCGGUCCAUCCAAAUGUAUAUAUGUGUAUGUCUGUUUGUCUAUGUGUAUGUAUGUACACACAUGUGUAGUUAUAUGUGUUAUAUAUGUGUAUGUAUGUACACACAUGUGUAGUUAUAUGUGUUAUAUAUGUGUAUGUAUAUACACACAUGUGUAGUUAUAUGUGUAUGUAUGCGAGUAUGCAUGAACACUUGUGGAAUUAAUGAAACAUGUAGUUGGGCCUGGCCAAAGUGUAUGUGUGUGUGUCUGUCUGUGCGUAUUGUCUGUGUAAAUUAUUUUCUUUCUUUUCUGUCUGGUUUUUAAAGAAUACACCAGUUCCAAGCCUCUCUCCUGGCCAGAGAGAGGUCCUUGAGCCAGAAAGAAAAGAGCCCUAGCAACUAAACUUUUUCUUUCCCUUCUUCAUCCCCUGUUGCUGCCAGCAGGAGUUUAUUACCAGAAACCAGCAGCAUCCCGCCACGGAAUAGUCAGAAACCAGCACUUAUUAGCACAAAAUAGUAAGAUCGAGUUGCAAGGUCAGAGAUCAUCAGUCUUUGACCUUCGUCUGAAGCUGAGACCCACCUCCUGCCAUUCAUUCUAAAGGCCAGGGCAGGCUCCUGGCAUGCUCAAAAACAAAAACAAACAAAAUGUGUGUGGGCCAUUAGUGAUGUAAUUAGGCCAGUGAGACCUCUGUCUGUCAAAAGCCAAGGCUGGUUUGACAUCCAUUUGUGGGUGUUAGGGGGACAUCAGAACCAUUAUUGCAAAGUUCGUUCCUCUCUAGGCUGUUCAUGUUUUAUUUUAUUUUAUUUUUUUAGACAACACCACCUCAUGUUAUCGGUCAGUUGGACAAACUGAUUAGAGAGGUAAGUUGAAAUAGUAAAUAUGUUAUCUUUCAUAAUUAUGUUAGAGAAACAAAAGGGUGGGUAUGUAUAAUAUAUUAACUGUAGAAUUUUCUUCUAGGAGAGGUUGUGUGUGUUAUACUAAUAGUAGAAGCUAUAACAUAAGGACAAAAAU